rnacentral:rRNA from 1 species
AAGCCUGAUCCAGCAAUGCCGCGUGAGUGAAGAAGGCCUUCGGGUUGUAAAGCUCUUUUGUCAGGGAAGAAACGGUGAGGGCUAAUAUCCUUCGCUAAUGACGGUACCUGAAGAAUAAGCACCGGCUAACUACGUGCCAGCAGCCGCGGUAAUACGUAGGGUGCAAGCGUUAAUCGGAAUUACUGGGCGUAAAGCGUGCGCAGGCGGUUUUGUAAGUCUGACGUGAAAUCCCCGGGCUCAACCUGGGAAUUGCGUUGGAGACUGCAAGGCUAGAAUCUGGCAGAGGGGGGUAGAAUUCCACGUGUAGCAGUGAAAUGCGUAGAGAUGUGGAGGAACACCGAUGGCGAAGGCAGCCCCCUGGGUCAAGAUUGACGCUCAUGCACGAAAGCGUGGGGAGCAAACAGGAUUAGAUACCCUGGUAGUCCACGCCCUAAACGAUGUCUACUAGUUGUCGGGUUUUAAUUAACUUGGUAACGCAGCUAACGCGUGAAGUAGACCGCCUGG